CAAGAAGACAAAAAAGGAACAAAAAAAAAAAGAGAAAAAGUUAAAAAAAAUAUUAAACAAAAAUAAGAGUAAUAAAAAUAAUAAAAUUGAUUAUGGUGAAGAAGAAGUACAUUUUAAUCAAAAUAUACUCAAAUUAUUAAAUAAACAAAGUUUUAAAGAACAUCAUAAUAUUCUAAGUAGUAGUACAAAUCAUUUCAUAACACCCGAAUUAAACGAAGGUGUUGAUUCUGCAGACGCACCAGAUCUUCUUAAAGAUUUAAACAAAAUAAGUGAUAACAAAUUAGAUCUUUUGGAACAUCUUGUUGAUUUAGAUUAUAAAAAACAAAAAAUGAAAGAAAAAAAAGCAAACGAAAUGGAAAAUGCGAAAAAUGAAAAAACUACCCGAAGAAAAGUAGUUAUGGAUUAUAAAAAUGAAGAGUUAAUGAAAAUCCAAAAACUUAUGGAAUUAAAAAAUCAGGAAUUAUUGAUGAAAAGGAAGCUCAACGAGUAUAUUAGUGAUAAUGACACGGACGACGAUGAUGGUACUGAUGGUGGUACUGAUGGUGUUGAAAAUGACAUGAUCGAUUACAGUGACACACAGAGCAACCACAAAUUAACAAUACUCAAAGAACAAAACAAUAAGUAUGAAGAUGCUCUCGAACAAAAUAAACAUAUUAAACAAAUGGUAGAUAAAAUUAUUCGAUUAAGAAGAGACAUUCAAAAAAGGGAAAUAGAAAAGGAACAAGAAACAGGGCCUAGUACCAACCGUUUUUUUGAUCAGAAAAUUUUUUCCAAUAUAUUUAACCAGUUAGGUACUGAAAUAAAUGACGAUAAAAAUGACAUAUAUAAUCAAGAAGAUGUUGUAAAAAAUGAUAAAAAUGCGAAAACAAAGAGUAGCAUAAAGGUUAUAAAUAAGACUGUUGAAGCUGAUGCAGCAGCAGCCACUGAUAACACAUCCAAUAUUUCCCCCGAUAUUAAUGAUGAUGGCGAUGAUGGCGAUGAUGAUGAUGAUGGUGAUGAUGCUGGUGAUGAUGAUGCCAAUUCAGAACAAGACAUAAAAGAAAUGGAUCAACGCGAUUUACCUAAAAUUCCAUUACCUGAGAAAUUAGCUAAAAAAGAGAAAAACAAAAAAUUAAGAGAGAAAUAUGGAAAUGAUGAAACGACAAUAAAAAAUACAUCUUUUUCUAUUGUUAAAACGCAAAAAAGUUCAGAAAAUAUAAAUAACUAUUUUUCUAAUUUAGUUAAAGAU
rnacentral:lncRNA from 1 species